CCCUGCCGGAGCAGAUUCCGGGCCGGACCUGUAGCCCGUGGAGAGGAGACCACGCAGGAGCAGAAGGUAUUACAGCCAGCUCUAUUGUGUAAGAAGAAUGACACCUGUGAUCACCAAAGGACAUGUUCCGUGGCUAGCUGGGACGAGGAGCAGGAGGAGGAGGAGAACUCUGUUCUGUGUGAGAUUGGACGAAGCAACCUGCUGGCUUUCAGGAGUCAAGACCUGCAGACUUGGAGAAUUCUGCAUGGGUGAAUGGUACUUAGCUGGAAUAGCAUGAUUUGAAGCAUCCUGCCUGAAAGUGGGAUAGGAGUGAAUCUUGACAUCUUGCUCUCCUCCUUCCCCAUUCCCAGAGGCCCAAGAGCCAAAAACCUCCCUUUUCUGAUGCAGCCCAGUCUUAUCAGCUUAGAAUACAGUGAAUAGCCCUCUCUAUUUUUCUACUCACACAUUCCGUAAUAAUCUUGUUUUAUCUUUACUUUUGGCUACUGGGAAGGAGAAGGACAAUGAGUUGUUAAGCAACAAGGAGAGGACUGGGGCACAGAGUGGAGACCUUUGCUGAAUGGAAGGAGCAGCUGCUGAAAAGAAAUUCCAGCAGUCUCUUUAGCGUGAACAGAAGGACAUGCAGGAAAGCAGUAGGCAUUGGAUCAGUCUAUCCUCACCUCCUCUGGCAUAGGGAAAGAUCUUUCUCUACUGUGUUUUCACCAAACUCUGUUAAAUAUCUGUUUUCAGCAAUGAUGAAAACCUAAGGAGCUUAAGAUAUAUCUUUGUUGUUUCUUUAGAGGAAAGAGAGUGAUUUGGCUUUUUAACAACUUUAGGCUUUUAUGUUUGAAAAAAUAACUUCUUAUACUCACUUGUCUAGUAAUUUCAUUGUCUGAAAUUUAAGAAGCAAACAAAAAGAAAAUACAAAAAAAAAAAAAAAAAAAGGAAAUAAAAACACGCAUACUUUCUGUUUAUAGUUUCCUUCCAUUUGCAAAUACACUAGUAAAUUUAAUUCAUAGGAAAAAAAAAAUGUUUUCAACACUUCAUGGUAUAGAAAAAUGAAAUUUAAAAGUAUGAGUAGUUGCUCAAGGCCACACACACAAACACAUAAAAGACUGUCAAAUACAGGAUUAGAAGUGAAACAGUCCUGAAAAUUAGAGAUGAAAGCAAAGCAUUCAACCCUUGAGAAUGUCUGUGGUCUCUUGUGUGUACAGGUCAAUACCAUUAAUGAAAAAGAAAACCCUUCCCAGUGUGGUCAUAAAAUAUGUCACAAUUAGAAAGCCAUUAUUAUCAAACAAUGGUGUACCUGUGGUUUUUGAUCACACACACACAAACACACAAUAAUAAUAAUAAAUAGAAUUUCAGUUUCCAUAAAAUUCAAUACUUUAGAUUGGACCUUAAAGAGAUGUCCAAUUACAAGCCAUUCUGCGUUAAUCACAGAAGAAGCUACUGAAAUUGCACAGAGGCAAUACAAAUUUAUAGGUAAUUUUAAUUUUUGAAUUUUGAGAAGUUGUGUCCAUGGUUAAUAAUUACUUUUCUCCUACACAGCAGACACUUUGCAAACAGUAUUCUUUCGUAAUAAAUUGUGUAUUUACAGAAGCUCUAUUUUCUGUGGUCUGUGCGAGAUAAUGUAUCAAAUUCAGACAUGCCAAUAAAGUGACUAGUACCCAAGAAAAAA